rnacentral:rRNA from 1 species
UGGGGAAUAUUGCACAAUGGGCGCAAGCCUGAUGCAGCCAUGCCGCGUGUAUGAAGAAGGCCUUCGGGUUGUAAAGUACUUUCAGCGGGGAGGAAGGUGUUGAGGUUAAUAACCUCAGCAAUUGACGUUACCCGCAGAAGAAGCACCGGCUAACUCCGUGCCAGCAGCCGCGGUAAUACGGAGGGUGCAAGCGUUAAUCGGAAUUACUGGGCGUAAAGCGCACGCAGGCGGUCUGUCAAGUCGGAUGUGAAAUCCCCGGGCUCAACCUGGGAACUGCACUCGAAACUGGCAGGCUAGAGUCUUGUAGAGGGGGGUAGAAUUCCAGGUGUAGCGGUGAAAUGCGUAGAGAUCUGGAGGAAUACCGGUGGCGAAGGCGGCCCCCUGGACAAAGACUGACGCUCAGGUGCGAAAGCGUGGGGAGCAAACA